UACAUAGACGUCUGUAUCUGUCGUCGGGAGGCUACAGAACUUUUAGGAAACACAUCACUUUCUUGAAAUUCAUAUCGUGCGGCUUUGUUAAGGUGAAAACUAAAUUUUUUGUGUUUUAUUCUCUCGCAGAUGGCGAGAACCUGUGCUAACGGACGUGGAGGACGACCACAAAUACCACCCGCUAGAGGCCGUUGAUGCGGUCGUGAUGCUGGAUGAGGCUGACCAGCAAGGGCAGCACUUAUAGACCCACUAGCUGCCCAGGUCCAGGAUUAGCCUCCUGCUGUGGAUGCUCAAGUGGCACGUAUUCAGGCACUGGCAGUGCCCAUCAUAAUUCCUGGUCUCCAGGAGGCUUUGGCUCAGAUUUAAUACUUCUGCAAUGGCCUGGCUUAGGCGGUUUCAGCCACUAUAACGGCGGCUACUUCUCACACUGGGGGUGGUCAUCAGACCCCCGAUGCUCGCACUCCUGAGCAGGUUGUUCAGGGCUUGCAAACACCUAAAGUAGCUUCAGUUCAUCCAGUUCAGCCAAUUGCUCCAGUUGCACCGGUUUUUCCAGUUGCGCCGGUCGCACCUGCUCCAGCUCAUACGGUUCCAGCUAUGCCGGAUGAUGAGCAGCGCCAUUUGGAGGGGUUCAGUAGGAUCAAGACUCCGACAUUUAGUGGUGCUGAGGGAGAGGAUGCCCAGGGUUUCUUGGAUAAAUGUCAGCGUAUGCUUCGUACUGCACGUAUUCUAGAGUCUAAUGGAGUGGAUUUUACCACCUUCCAGUUCAAAGGAGCUACAUUUACUUGGUGGGAAGAGUUCGAGAGGCGUAGCCUAUCAGGGCAGGGCCCCUCACUUGGCAGCAGUUCUCUACUAUAUUUUUGGAAAAGUAUGUGCCCCAGUCUCAUAGAGAGGAGCUGCUUCAUCAGUAUGAGUGGUUAACUCAGGGAGAUAUGUCAGUGACUCAGUAUGAGUUUCAGUUUACACAGCUGGCUAGGCAUCAUAUGUGGCUGAUCCCGACAGAUAGAGAGAGGAUUAGGAGGUUUAUAGAUGGCCUCAACUAUUCGAUCCGUAUAUUGAUAACUAGAGAGAGGGAUACAACAGCUACAUUUGAGGAGGUUGUUGAUGCAACUCGACUGAUUGAGACAGAUCGCCGUCGGGAGCGUAUGGAGAGGGAGGCCAAGAGGCCUCGAGGUACAGGUAAUUUCAGCGGUGCUCCGCCAAGGGGCCAGUUCCAGCAUGGUAGAGGUCAUUCCUCUGGCCUCUCAUUUAGGACGUAAAGAGUCCAAUGGAGCCUCUUCCGGACGGGGCCAUCAGGACACCACCAGAGUCAGCCUACACUGAGUGUUGUUCCAACUUAGAGCUCUGCUCCUACUCCUUUAGCUCAGAGUUCGUCUGUAACGAGGGUUCUCAUCAUUCCUCUUUUCUAGCUUCAGUUCGUUGCUAUUAGUGCGGUGAGUCGGGUCACAUGAGGAGACAGUGUGCUCGACCCCGUAAUAGGCAGUCUCAGCAGAACGAUCAGCCCUCAUCUUCUGGUCAGGUUUCUUCGGCUCCAACUCAUCGAUCUAGGGUAGAGGCCAAGUAGCCUGAGGUCGCCCCAGGGGUGAGGACCGUACUGGCGGUGGCCAGGCCCAUUUCUAUGCCCUUCCAGAUCGGAGGGACGCUAUUGCCUUUCGAUGCAGUUAUCACGGGAAUUAUCUCAAUCUGCCACAUGAAUGCUUCUGUUUUAUUUGAUCCCGGAUCUACCUAUUCAUAUGUAUCUUCCUAUUUUACUUAUCAUUUGGGUACGACCCAUGGUUGUCUUGCCUUGUCCGUGCACGUAUCUACCCCGGUGGGUGAUACUAUUAUUGUGGAUCAUGUAUAUCGACCCUAUCUGGUGACUAUUGGGGGUCUGGAGACCCGAGUUGACCUUUUACUGUAGGGAAUGGUAGAUUUCGAUGUGAUUCUUGGUAUGGAUUGGCUAUCUCCAUACCAUGCUAUUCUGGACUGCCAUGUUAAGAUAGUUAUGUUAGAUAUUCCGGGUAUUCCGAGGAUCGAGUCGCGAGGCGUGACUGAUUAUGUAACUAGCAGGGUGAUUUCUUUCCUAAAAGCCCAACGAAUGGUCGGAAAGGGUGUUUAUCAUAUUUGGCAUUCGUGAGAGAUGUGGAAGCCGAGGCGCCUAGUCUUGAUUCGGUUACCGUUGUUAGAGAUUUCCCCGACGUGUUUCCAGCGGACUUGCCAGGCAUGCUGCCUGUCAGGGACAUUGAUUUCGGUAUUAAUCUGGUGCCGAGUACUCAGCCCAUAUCUAUUCCCCCCUAUCGUAUGGCACCAGCGGAGCUAAGGGAGUUGAAAGAACAACUUCAGGAACUCCUAGAUAAGGGGUUCAUUCACCCGAUUGUGUCACCUUGGGGUGCACCGGUAUUAUUUGUAAAGAAGAAGGAUGGCACAAUGAGAAUGUGGCAUGCCGCCGGACAGGGACAUUGAUUUUGGUAUUGAUCUGGUGCCGGGCACUCAGCCCAUCUCUAUUCCUCCCUUUCAUAUGGCACCAGCAGAGCUAAAGGAGUUGAAGGAACAACUUCAGGAACUCCUAGAUAAGGGAUUUAUUCACCCGAGUGUGUCAACUUGGGGUGCACCGGUAUUAUUUGUAAAGAAGAAAGAUGGCACUAUGAGAAUGUUCAUUGACUACAAGCAGUUGAAUAAAGUGACAGUGAAGAACAAGUACCCACUACCCCGUAUUGAGGAUUUAUUUGAUCAGCUCCAGGGAGCAAAGUUACUCUCUAAGAUUUACCUUCUAUCAGGCUAUCACCAGCUGAAGACUAGGGAUUCAGACAUUAUGAAGACGGCUUUCAGGACGAGAUACGGGCACUAUGAGUUUCUAAUGAUGUCAUUCGGGCUAACUAAUGCCCCAGCCACGUUCCUGCACUUGAUUAACAGUGUAUUUCGGCC
rnacentral:lncRNA from 1 species